rnacentral:rRNA from 1 species
UAGAGUUUGAUCCUGGCUCAAGAUGACCUCUAGCUACAGGCUUAACACAUGCAAGUCGAGGGGCAGCAUUUUAUUUUGCUUGCAAACUAAAGAUGGCGACCGGCGCACGGGUGAGUAACACGUAUCCAACCUGCCGAUAACUCGGGGAUAGCCUUUCAAAAGAAAGAUUAAUAUCCGAUAGUAUAUUAAAACCGCAUGGUUUUACUAUUAAAGAAUUUCGGUUAUCGAUGGGGAUGCGUUCCAUUAGUUUGUUGGCGGGGUAACGGCCCACCAAGACUACGAUGGAUAGGGGUUCUGAGAGGAAGGUCCCCCACAUUGGAACUGAGACACGGUCCAAACUCCUACGGGAGGCAGCAGUGAGGAAUAUUGGUCAAUGGACGAGAGUCUGAACCAGCCAAGUAGCGUGAAGGAUGACUGCCCUAUGGGUUGUAAACUUCUUUUAUAUGGGAAUAAAGUAUUCCACGUGUGGGAUUUUGUAUGUACCAUAUGAAUAAGGAUCGGCUAACUCCGUGCCAGCAGCCGCGGUAAUACGGAGGAUCCGAGCGUUAUCCGGAUUUAUUGGGUUUAAAGGGAGCGUAGGUGGAUUGUUAAGUCAGUUGUGAAAGUUUGCGGCUCAACCGUAAAAUUGCAGUUGAAACUGGCAGUCUUGAGUACAGUAGAGGUGGGCGGAAUUCGUGGUGUAGCGGUGAAAUGCUUAGAUAUCACGAAGAACUCCGAUUGCGAAGGCAGCUCACUAGACUGCAACUGACACUGAUGCUCGAAAGUGUGGGUAUCAAACAGGAUUAGAUACCCUGGUAGUCCACACAGUAAACGAUGAAUACUCGCUGUUUGCGAUAUACAGUAAGCGGCCAAGCGAAAGCAUUAAGUAUUCCACCUGGGGAGUACGCCGGCAACGGUGAAACUCAAAGGAAUUGACGGGGGCCCGCACAAGCGGAGGAACAUGUGGUUUAAUUCGAUGAUACGCGAGGAACCUUACCCGGGCUUAAAUUGCAUUUGAAUAAUCUGGAAACAGGUUAGCCGCAAGGCAAAUGUGAAGGUGCUGCAUGGUUGUCGUCAGCUCGUGCCGUGAGGUGUCGGCUUAAGUGCCAUAACGAGCGCAACCCUUAUCUUUAGUUACUAACAGGUUAUGCUGAGGACUCUAGAGAGACUGCCGUCGUAAGAUGUGAGGAAGGUGGGGAUGACGUCAAAUCAGCACGGCCCUUACGUCCGGGGCUACACACGUGUUACAAUGGGGGGUACAGAAGGCAGCUACCUGGCGACAGGAUGCUAAUCCCAAAAACCUCUCUCAGUUCGGAUCGAAGUCUGCAACCCGACUUCGUGAAGCUGGAUUCGCUAGUAAUCGCGCAUCAGCCAUGGCGCGGUGAAUACGUUCCCGGGCCUUGCACA